CGACGCCCUGAGCCGAGGUCCGCGCCCAACUGGGCACCCUCAGACCUGUUGUCUUAAACGUUGUACCGGGUGAGAGCCUUCAGCGCUCCCCAUUUGUCCGGCCAAGUAGUUAAUGCCAUCUGCGGCAAAUCUACAAUAUGUCACGUCGAAAUGGACCCAACUAGAUGGCCAGCUAGUUCAGCCCACAUGCAACAGAUGGCGCCACAUCCAAUAAUGCAGUCUUCAAGCAGUCGUGAAACGCGAUAUCGAAGUUUACACAGCAAGACGCAUAUAUACAACUUCCAACAUAACACCGUCGGAACGUCGAUCCCUAGUCACACUGCCAACUUGAGGCUAGCGGGGUACUAUGCUCUGUUCGGUACCCCGAAAUUAUACCUUGGCGGCAGGGCAUCCUCACACGUUAGGUUUUUUUUUUUUCUUUUGACGUGACUUAUUGUAGAUUUGCCGCAGAUGGCAUUAACUACUUGGCCGGAACACGUUAGGUCACAUACCUCCGAAACGUAUUUCUCGGGCAUGUGGGUUUCCUUCACCGCUGAGCACGUGAUAAUCAUUUGUGUACGGAAUCUAGUACAUCAGCAUGAUAAAUGUAAGUUUACAUAGUCACAGACCACGAGAGAAGUCCACUUCCCAGCCAAAUAAUUUAAGACUGCAUUUUAUCGUUAGUUAAAAAAAAAAUUCGUACUAAUUUUUUUUUAUUUUAUUUUUUUUUCAAAUUUCGUGUAAGAUGUUUUGUUCUUCGAGCUUUAAUGUCUCUCUCAUCAAUGUGAUAGGUUAGUAGUCACAAUAAAUGUAAAAUAAUGUUAAUGUAUGGUAUGAGGCUGGAUGCUAUCAGCGCCUUUUCAGAGAGUUAUCUGACAAGGACCUUAAAACAAUUCGAUAAAGUGAGGUCACAAAUAUACACAAGCUCGGUCCUUUGCAAGAUGAUCUAAGGUUGCUUUUCCACCAGAGCUGUGCGAGAAAGCUAAGCGGUGUGCGAGGAAAAAAUCCACCUAUUUCUCCCAUCAGACGGGCUUAAAAUGGCCACAUCGAAGCAAUCCAUCUAAGAGAGCAAUGUUGCAAUUUGACAUUUGCGCGUAUAAAAGUAAGUGCGCAAUGCAAACAAAUGUCAAACAGCAAUAUUGCUUUCUUAGAUGAAUUGCUUCGAUGUGGCCAUUUUAAUCCCCUGCACACAUUUUGUUCGUGGCGUGACCAUGUCCUAGUGAGAUAUUUCAUUUGUAAAUACUGAGAUAGAUGCUAUAAUAUACAAGCUGUUAGUGACAUCGUAACGAAUACUGAAGGGGAUGAUUCAGACCACGGUUCUGAGUUGAUAUCAAGAGGAAUUUCCUGUCCAUGUGUAAAUUACACUUGGUAUCAACUCAGAAUCAUGAUCUGAAUCAUGCUUCAAAGUUUUCGUUACGAUGUCACUAACACCCUGUAUACACUAUAUGUAUAACCAAAAACUAUGACACCGUAACGAAUACUCAGGGGGAUGAUUCAGCUCAUGACUCUUGAGUUGAUAUCAAGUGGAAUUUUCCAUUGCAAAAGAAUAAAAUAACACAUAAAAAAACAUGAGUUUUGGUGGAAAUUCCACUCGAUAUUAACUCAGAAUUUUGAGCUGAAUCAUCCCCCUGAGUAUUCGUUACGGAGUCACUAACAUGCUGCAUUUAUAACUAAAAAUAUUUAUGUAAAUUGGACGUCAUAUAGAUGUUAAAAUAAUUAUAUUUGACGCUAAGGAUCAAAUAAUUGCUGUUUAGAUUGAUAACGUAAACAGCCUAUAUACGUCCCACUUCUGGGCACAGGCCUCCCCUCAAUCAACCGGAGGGGGUAUGGAGCAUACUCCACCACGCUGCUCCAUGUAGGGUAAAAAAAACUGCAUUUAUUAUUGAAAGUUGUAGAUAAUGUAAGUUCAAUAUUAAGAAAAAUAUUCUUUUAAAUGUAAGUAUUGAUUAAAUACUCUAUAAAAAUAUAAAUAGCAAAAUAUAGUUUUUUUUUCUAUAUAUAUUUUUCAAAUUAAAAUGUUGUAUAUUGUAAUCUUAAUGUAGUUAAUAAAAACAAUUAUGUAUCUGUUUUGGCUACUAGCGCUUUGGGGUUUCGGGUAAAAAAAAAGAUUUUGAAAAUAAAGUUUUUUUUAUUAUUUCUGAAUCUUAAAAAAUAUCUGUCUUAAAAUACUGAUGUCUUUAAAAUAAAGCGAAAAUGUAGUCAAAUUUAGCAAUAAAAAUCUUCUCAACUCUGGACCCUGAAACGCCGAGUCCGACUCGUGCUUGGCCAGUUUUCCGUUGUUACGAAACCGCCUGUGUGUCAGAACAUCCAUUAUAUAAUAAACAAUUCAAUAAGAAACUUUAUAUUAGAGGUCUGAACAGGCCAAAUUGGGUAUUGCGUCUUCGAGAGCUAUCAAAUUCAAAUAUACUUUAUUGCAUUUAAAAAAAAUAGUUACAAAAGAGAUUUAAGGUGGUAUUAAUAAACCAAUCUCAGCUUCGAGACUGCCCUCAAGAUCAUGUCAAUGUGACAGUUUUUUUUCUUUAUUUAAGGAGUUUUAUCUUACAAAAAGAUAAUGUCACUACGGAGUGACAUUAUGUAUGUAUUGUGGAGUGGCAUUGUGUAAGUUGUAGAAUCGAAGAAGUCACUCCGUAGUGACUUUUACACAAACUAAAAGCAACUUAAACUAAAAUAAUAAUUUUUGGCUUAAAACAAACUGUCCAUCCCCUUAAUGUGACAGUUCUUAUAUAAAACAGGGACUUGAGCUGAUGCGCAAGGUGAUUCUUGAGGGUCUCAGCUGAGAUUCGUUUAUUAAUACCACCCUUGGGUACACGACAAAUGGCGGCCUUAUCGUUUUAAGCGAUUCCUUCCAGACAACCAUAAGGCGAGACUUAUCAAUAAAUACAUGCACGAUGAUAAAUACAAAAUUCUUUAAUACGUAAAUAUCUUUCAAUUAUCAUGACUAAUAAAACUCUUUAGAUGAAAUGCUCAAUAUGGCCUUUUUGAUCCUCUGAUCGUAAUAAUUUAUUUAUAAUUUAUAUUAUUAAUGUAUAUGUUUAGAUUUGGUGUUAGCUCUCUUCACUAUUGCUAAGUAGUGGGUUCGAUUCUGAUUGUUAAUUUAAUGCGAUUUUUGUUCAUAUUUCAUUUGCUGCUCAAAGUUUUAACUACAAUUUCAAGCGGUAAUCGCAUCAAAAUACUUUAUCUUUUGAACUGCAUAUGAAACUAAUAAGUAAUACAGGCAAACUCAUACAUACAAGUACGUAUGGGUGUUAGUGACACCGUAACGAAUGCUGAGGGGUAUGAUUCAGACCAUGAUUCUGAGUUGAUAUCAAGUGGAAUUUCCUGUCGAAAAAUUCAUGAUAACAUUGGUGUUUUUUUUUUUGUAAUUAUUUUCAUUUGAUAUCAACACAGAAUCGUGGUCUGGAUCGUCCCUCCCCAAAUCUCCUGGUAGUUGCGGCUUCCGAAUACAUCCCGCUUAGGGACGGUACUGAAAACUAUCGGUGUCCGAAGGACGUAAUAUACGAUCCCGACGACCCAAUUACUCUAGCCAUAGAGGCAGCCAAUCAGCUCGCGACACCAACCACUUCAGGACCCCGAUACCGACCCCGCCGGCGUUGUCGACGACUUCCCUCAUUCAGCGCUUAUCGCUAUCGACCCACUAGGGUCGAUUAAUUCUUUCAAAUAUUUUUCCUCUCAGACGACGCCCUGAGCCGAGGUUCGCGCCCAACUAGGCACCCUUAGGCCUGUUGUCUUAAACGUUGUACCGAGUGAGAGCCUUCAGCGCACCCCAUUUGUCCGGCCAAGUAGUUAAUGCCAUCUGCGGCAAAUCUACAAUGAGUCACGUCAAAAAAAAAGGGUCGUCUUUCAAAGUUUUCGUUACGAUGUCACUAACUACCCUGUUUAACUGACGUAUGAAAGGGUACAUUGUUUUAGGUUUACGCGGUUAUUGUCAUAAUUAAAGCACAUAAUAACGGGUUCUUACCGCGUUUAAAUGGGGAUAUGAGACUCCCGAUAUUUCGACACUGUUGCAAGUGCCAUGAUCACGGGAUGACUGAUGAGAUUGGAGUGGAGUAGGUAGAUCCAUAAUUUUCUACGGGCAGACAUAUCUGUCUACCCUCUUUCUCUGCCGCUUGUUUAUGUUUUUGGAUCUACCUACUCCACUCCAAUCUCAUCAGUCAUCCCGUGAUCAUGGCACUUGCAACAGUGUCGAAAUAUCGGGAGUCUCAUAUCCCCAUUUAAACGCGGUAAGAACCCGUUAUUAUGUGCUUUAAGUAUGAAAGGGUAGGCAGAGAUAUAAUAGAAAAUUAGACUCCUCGCCAUGGUUAAGUCCCAUGUAAUAGAGGGCGAGCCUAUUGCCAUUAACCGGGCACAAAUCCUGAAAACCACGCGAUAUCAAUUUACCAAACAUGAAUUCAAACUUAUAAACACUAUUUUUUUAUUUUAUUUUUUAACGUUGGGAAAUGCAUUACGCAUACCACGCCGGGGCGACGUGGUUAUGUGGGACUCCCCGGGUGUCGCCACCCGGUAUACCCACUAAAACCCAACGGUGUUCCUCCUUGCCGCCCUGUGGCGGGGAUACGGGAACGCAAUUGCACACAACCGCGUCCCCGCCGGGAAACUUAUAAACGAUGUAAGUCUUUUGUACUUCCCUAUAUUGCUUGCUUUUUUAUUUGAAAAAAAAAACUACAUAAGUUCGCACCUGUUUCCCUUUUUAUAUUUUUUUUUAUAAAAAAAAAUAUUAUAUAAGAUUGGAAUCGAACUUACUGCCUUUAGUUCAGUUAAUCUAGUACACUUGUUAGGCCAGUCAACUCAGUAGGAAUUGAAUGUCUAGGUUGUUUUUUUUUAAAUCGUACAUAAUAGAAAAAAAAGAUAGGAAAAAUUGUAAAGGAAACAGAUAAAAGUACAUACAUAAAUUAAUGACGAAUUUUAAUGGAAUUCGCAAUAGAAAAAAAAAUGUAUAGAACGGUGAAUUAUUGAAGAAAUUGCGUUGGGCUCACCAUCCGGAGGUCCCGGGUUCGAAUCCUUGUGGGGACAUAUCACAAAAAUCACUUUGUGAUCCCUAGUUUGGUUAGGACAUUACAGGCUGAUCACCUGAGGCCUGUUUCAUAAAACUUACAAUUGUAAAUUACAACGACAAUUUGGUAUUCAUAACGUAGCUAAUAUGAAACUGCAAAAUAUUUGUGAUCAAUAACUCCGCAAUGUACAUCAAAUUGUCAUUGUAAUUUACAAUUGUAAGUUUUAUUAAACAGGCCCCUGAUUUUCCGAAAGUAAGAUGAUCCGUGCUUCGUAAGGCACGUUAAGCAGUUGGUCCCGGUUGCUACUUACUGAUGUAAGUGAGUAAUCGUUACAUGAGCCAUGUCAGGGGCCUUUGGCGGCUCAAUAAUAACCCUGACACCAGAUAGACGACGAGAAGACCAGCUAUGGUAUUCGCCCAUUAGUCGGCUUUCGCGACUAGUCGGCUACCCCGACUAAUAAAGAAGCACUUUCAAAAAUUCACCUUCUAAACUACAAUGUGUGAAACUGUCUUGUAACUUCUCUUGCGAAUUUCCUUUUCAGAUUUUUUUGUCAUUAUCAUUCGGUAUAACAAGUAUUUGACAGCCAAGCAAAAUUGGGGGUGUGAUCGGGACCUCCCGGUGAGUAUGGGAAAACUUCCAUAUCUUGAAAAACUGCUCCGCAUCAGGGAGACACCCUACGGUCUGGCGCAACUAUUAUACCUGGAUCAUUUUUUU
rnacentral:lncRNA from 1 species